UACGUAGGGUGCAAGCGUUAAUCGGAAUUACUGGGCGUAAAGCGUGCGCAGGCGGUUUUGUAAGUCUGUCGUGAAAGCCCCGGGCUUAACCUGGGAAUUGCGAUGGAGACUGCAAGGCUUGAAUCUGGCAGAGGGGGGUAGAAUUCCACGUGUAGCAGUGAGAUGCGUAGAGGAUGUGGAGGAACACCGAUGGCGAAGGCAGCCCCCUGGGUCAAGAUUGACGCUCAUGCACGAAAGCGUGGGGAGCAACAGG
rnacentral:rRNA from 1 species